rnacentral:rRNA from 1 species
UGGGGAAUAUUGCACAAUGGAGGGAACUCUGAUGCAGCGACGCCGCGUGAGUGAUGAAGGAAUUCGUUUGGUAAAACUCUGUUCUAUGGGAAGAAAAGGACUGUACCAUAGGAGAAAGCUCCGGCUAAAUACGUGCCAGCAGCCGCGGUAAUACGUAUGGAGCGAGCGUUGUCCGGAAUUAUUGGGCGUAAAGGGUGCGCAGGCGGCUUUACAAGUUGGAUGUGAAAUAUUGUGGCUCAACCACAAACGUGCAUCCAAAACUGCAAAGCUUGAGUUAAGGAGAGGUAAGUGGAAUUCCUGGUGUAGCGGUGAAAUGCGUAGAUAUCAGGAGGAAUACCGGUGGCGAAGGCGACUUACUGGACUUAAACUGACGCUCAGGCACGAAAGCGUGGGGAGCAAACAGG